AGUGGGAUAACUGGGUCAAAUGGUUGUCCAUUCCCAGUUUUCUGAGGAAUCUCCAUACUGCUUUCCAUAGUGGUUGCACCAAUUUGCAGUCCCACCAGCAAU
rnacentral:pre_miRNA from 1 species